rnacentral:misc_RNA from 1 species
AUUGACAAGACCCACAAGGCAGCUAUAACAAUGAGAAACUUCUUUAAAUCUUUUCCAGAUGCAGUAUCACGUAAGACUGCAAAACCUCGGUUGAUUUCGAAUGUCAGUGCUGAAGCAAUCUGCAGGAAUGGCUCUUCUGGAAGAUGAACUUGUGGGAUGCGAGGUGGGGUCUUAUUGAUAAAUGUAUGAGCAUUGGACCACAGAA